GGUUGUAGUUAACUACNCUGGGNUAACCUUGCCCAUAAGACUGGGAUAACAUUCGGAAACGAAUGCUAAUACCGGAUACGCGAAGCGGUCGCAUGAUCGAAUCGGGAAAGGCGGAGCAAUCUGCCACUUAUGGAUGGACCCGCGGCGCAUUAGCUAGUUGGUGGGGUAACGGCUCACCAAGGCGACGAUGCGUAGCCGACCUGAGAGGGUGAUCGGCCACACUGGGACUGAGACACGGCCCAGACUCCUACGGGAGGCAGCAGUAGGGAAUCUUCCGCAAUGGACGAAAGUCUGACGGAGCAACGCCGCGUGAGUGAUGAAGGUUUUCGGAUCGUAAAGCUCUGUUGCCAGGGAAGAACGCUUGCGAGAGUAACUGCUCGCAAGGUGACGGUACCUGAGAAGAAAGCCCCGGCUAACUACGUGCCAGCAGCCGCGGUAAUACGUAGGGGGCAAGCGUUGUCCGGAAUUAUUGGGCGUAAAGCGCGCGCAGGCGGCCUUGUAAGUCUGUCGUUUAAACUCGGAGCUCAACUUCGAGUCGCGAUGGAAACUGCAAAGCUUGAGUGCAGAAGAGGAAAGUGGAAUUCCACGUGUAGCGGUGAAAUGCGUAGAGAUGUGGAGGAACACCAGUG
rnacentral:rRNA from 1 species